CCUACGGGGGGCAGCAGUGAGGAAUAUUGGUCAAUGGGAGAGAGCCUGAACCAGCCAAGCCGCGUGAGGGAAGACGGCCCUAUGGGUUGUAAACCUCUUUUGUCGGGGAACAAAGCCCGGAACGUGUCCCGGACUGCGUGUAUCCGAAGAAAAAGCAUCGGCUAACUCCGUGCCAGCAGCCGCGGUAAUACGGAGGAUGCGAGCGUUAUCCGGAUUGAUGGGGUUAAAAGGGUGCGUAGGCGGUCAGUUAAGUCAGCGGAAAAUUUGGGGGCUCAACCCCGUCGAGCCGUUGAAACUGGCAGACUUGAGUUUGCGAGAGGUACGCGGAAUGCGCGGUGUAGCGGUGAAAUGCAUAGAUAUCGCGCAGAACUCCGAUUGCGAAGGCAGCUUACCGGCGCCAGACUGACGCUGAGGCACGAAAGCGUGGGGAUCGAAUAGGAUUAGAUACCCUGGUAGUC
rnacentral:rRNA from 1 species